GUUUGGGUCUAGAUCUGAGCUCUAUCUUUCGACACUUUGGUAUUGGAAAUAGAAGCCAUGUGGUUUGUUUGUUUUUAGCGCGAAUGGGCGAUAAAUGCCAAAUGUAAAACAUUUAUUAGAGGUGUUGGUUUUUGUUGCAGGGAAAUGUGAUAGGAAUUAGACAGGAAUGAUAUUUGUGUGUGUUGAUCAUGUUUAGCGUUUGUUAGUUUGUUGUUGGUGGUGAUGAUGGUUAUGGACUUAUGGUGAUGAUGGUGAUGGCCGUGUUUGGUGGUGGUGAUGAUGGUGGCUGGUGGUGAUUGGCAGUGGCGGUGAUGAUGUCGUCAUGGUGGUGGUGAUGGUUGUGCUGGUGGUGGUGGUUACUGUGGUGGUUGUCACUUGUAGUGAUGGUGGCGACUGGUGAUGAUGAUGGUGGCUGUGGUGAUGGUGGUGGCUGUGGUGAUGGCAGUGCUGGUGAUGGUAGCUAUGGUGGUGGUUAUGGUGGCUGUGGUGAUGACGAUGGUGGUGAUGAUGACGAUGAUGAUAAUUGUGUUGAUGAUGAUGAUGAUGGUGGAAAUAAUGAUGAU